rnacentral:rRNA from 1 species
AACGAACGCUAGCGGCAUGCCUAACACAUGCAAGUCGAAUGAGAUCUUCGGGUCUAGUGGCGCACGGGUGCGUAACGCGUGGGAAUCUGCCCUUUGGUUCGGAAUAACAGUUGGAAACGACUGCUAAUACCGGAUGAUGACGAAAGUCCAAAGAUUUAUCGCCAGAGGAUGAGCCCGCGUAGGAUUAGCUAGUUGGUGUGGUAAAGGCGCACCAAGGCGACGAUCCUUAGCUGGUCUGAGAGGAUGAUCAGCCACACUGGGACUGAGACACGGCCCAGACUCCUACGGGAGGCAGCAGUGGGGAAUAUUGGACAAUGGGCGAAAGCCUGAUCCAGCAAUGCCGCGUGAGUGAUGAAGGCCUUAGGGUUGUAAAGCUCUUUUACCCGGGAUGAUAAUGACAGUACCGGGAGAAUAAGCUCCGGCUAACUCCGUGCCAGCCGCCGCAGUAAUAC